GAUGUUCUCAAUACAGUAGAGAAUAUGCGAGAUAUAGAUGAUUGGGUAUUAGGAUAUAAAGUUAUAUCAGUAUCAAGAGAUGUAGGAAUUCAUGUUAAUAAUCCAUUAACUAAUGCAGUUCAACGAUUUGUUCAUUAUAGUGGAUCGGUUAAUGCUGUCAGUUGUUAUGGCGGAAGGUUUGUGGUGGCUGCUGAUUCAUCAAUAUUAAAUGGUCAACCAAUCUGGCAGGUUUCAGAAUCGAAUUCUGUUGACACUAGAGUUACCUCCACCUUAUAUGGUCAUGAAGAAUCAUGUAUUAGUGCUGUUGCUAUGUGGAAUGGUGAGGUACUAUCAGGAGAUGUUAUUGGAAAUCUGUUUAAAUGGAAAAUUCCGUUAGAUGGUUCUGAUUGUUCCAAACCCAUUCAUAUAGCUAAAUUUUCUGUUAGCUAUACAAAAGCUAUUUAUUAUGACGGUCAUGUUAUAUUUUGUUUGUUAGGUGAUGGAAGUAUAUGUUGGCGAGUUGGAUCUAGUAAAUUUCAAACUUUACCCAAUACACAGGAAUUAGAAGUUUUCUCAGCUACACCUGUUUGUAUGGCUUGUAGAGCAAGACUACUAGCAAUAGGACUUAAUUCAGGUUCAGUGCUGAUAUAUUUUUUUGAGAACCAGAAAUCGUGGGAUAAUUUUAAUCCCUCUCAACCAACAAGUUAUGUUAAAGCCAGCCAAGACAGUGUUAACUCCAUUGAUAUUGGUGAUGAUGGUGAGGGACCAGUUAUUGUAACUAGCUCAACUAACGAGGGUAUUUCAAAGUUUUACUGGAGACCUCCCUAAUAGAUCUGUGAUAUAACAUUUCAUUCAUAUUUAUUUGAUGAUAUAUAAAGAAAUUCUAUAAAGAGCUGUUUUUGAAAAGGGGAAGUGUUACCAGAUGCUUUGUAAAAACAGAUUGCUUCUACUAUAUGUGACCAGCUCUGAAUAAAUGAGAAACAUGUCACAGACCACUUAUUUGAGAUACGUUUUUUUUUUUUUUUUGUUAACCCAUGUUGAUUUUACAGCAUAUCAGUCAUUAAAAAUGACCUAAACUAUCAGAAAUACAUAAAAUGUGUUGUUUUUGUUACUCUGGAAUCUUGCUUAGUUCCAUUAAUUAUAAAUGAUUAUUCCUACAAAUUAAUAGAUAUAUUCUAUACCAACUUCAAAACUGAAUUUUAUUUUCUAAGAUAAAUGUCACAUACCAGUUUAAAGUUCUCUGAACAUAGAAUUUAAAUAUUGUGAUCUGUUGACCAGUGUGUCUUGUUUAGUCAGAGUCGGUCACAUAUUAUUUUAAAAUAGUCCAGUCAGUCACAUAUCAUUUUAAAAUAGUCCAGCUGUUGCCAACUAUUCAUAUUUCAUUCAUUAUCUAGUAUUAACAUAGUUAUACCCAUGCUCAACUCGCAUUACAACUCUUUUCAUCUUUGGGUAACAAAUCAACUUUAUGACUGUGAUGUCAUGGUAGUAACUGUCAGUCAUGUAAACAAACAAAGCAAUAAGAACAUGUUAUUGUAGUCUUUGAUUCAAUGAUUUUCUUGACAAAUCAAUCACAUGUUUACAAAGAAUGGCUAUAUUAUACCACAAGCACAUGGUUUUGUUUAUAAACAGUGACUGACAGUUAUCCUGAUAACAUCACAUCUGGCGUUUUCAGUUUGCCUUUACACUCGAAAUAAAUUGUAUUUCGUGUUCUGCAUUGUGGAAACUAUUUCAAUAGUAGAUAAACAAAAAUAAAGAAUCUGCAAGGGUUCAAAUUUUCCUUAAAAAGAGCUGUUUUUAUUGUACUAUUUUUUGUCAGAGCAUCAUAUUAAAAGAGCUUCACCAAAGAAUCUGCAAUGGCUAAACUUUUCCUCGAAUCAUGCUUAUAGCAGUUUGGGAAAGUGCUGUUUUUAUUGUACUUUUUUGUCAGAGCAUUAAUGUACAUCAUAUUAAAAGAGCUUCAACCAUCCUCAACCUGAAAACAGAUUGUUUCGUUUUCAUUUGUCAGAGCAAUAUAUAUAUAUAUACCUCAUCCUGUGCUUUAAACUUCCAAUAGUUAGUAUUAAUGAUUACAUUUUAUUUUGCUUAAGCUAAAGCCCCAACCUGCUAAAAUAAAGGUUAAAGAUACAUUAUUCAAGGGCUAAAUGUUAUAUGAAUUAUUAAUGGGACAUUUAUGAACAUGACAAGAUCAUAAUCAACUAUGCCAUCAGAUGCUCAAGAUUUUAACUACUAAUUUGAAUGAAAAUUUUCAAUAUUCAUUUUGCAUUAUCUAUUUUUGAACUAUUAUAGCAAGAACGACCAGCUCUUUAUCUAAAUCUUACAUAAUGUAUCUUUACGUUUAUUGUUUAGUACCCUAAACAAUCAACAGUACUUUUUAAAAACAUUAUUCAAAUCGAUCAAUUCUUAUGGCCAUUUUAGGUGUAGAUUGGUUUCUAUUGAUUUCAAACAUCUUUGUCCCUAUUAGUCAGAAUAGUAAUGAUAAUUUUUCUAUUGUUUUGGUACAAGCCAGCUCAUUCUUCAUGAAGGUCUCUUUAUAGUAUAAGAUACACCAAUACGAAUUGUUGUUCUUUCACAACACCUAUUCAAAAUUUUGCUUCUUAGAUUAAAAAAAAUUUAAUUUGACAACAAGAAGUACUUGCUGGCUCUUCUCAAAAGCUUUGAUUUCCAAACUUUUAAGUUCAAAAUUUUUAAACAAAGAAUUGAAAUUGUGUGGCCUCGACUGUGCUUAAGUAUAUAAUGACAACAUCCUUUAUAUUAUAAUUUUUUGAAUCUGCAAUUUUAAUUAAAGGCCUGCAGAAGUUCAAUAACAAUUUUCCCUAUUUAAAUGUAAGGAAAGUGAGGACUGAAAAGUUUACUUAGAUUGUAAUCUUGAUCAUUAAAACCAAUAAAUUUUUUGUUUCUGUUUAUUUAAUAAUUUUGUAAAUUUUUGGGACAUGAAGCCUGUAGCUUUAUAUGCCAUGAAAUAUCAUUUAUUCUUAAAAGUAAAAUGACUUAGAUGCAAAUUUUGAUUGUUAUUUAUUUUAUUACUGUAAUCAGUAAAUGGAGUUAUAUUAGAAAUUAUGUUAUAAGAAAGUUGUUCUUUUCUUAUUUGUUUAGUUCAGAUUAAUGUAGGGCUAUUCCAUUUAAAACUAUCGGGAUAGGUGGAAAUGUCAUGUUUCAAAAAGAUUUGGUAGUGGAGGGUUACCAGACUAAUUGCUCAGUAUAGUUUACAUGCAAUUUUUUUAGAAAAGAAAAGGUCUGUUAGUAGAAAGAUGUUAACAAAUAGGCUACAUAUAUUUUGUUACAAGGGAAGUCUAUAAAAUGUAGCAUUGCCACACAUACAUGUAGUUUAAAGUGGAAUAGUCCUAAGGCCAAGGGCUUUCAAGAAAAGAAAAUUAUCUUAUUAGUUCAUUAUUAAAAUAGUCAUUUAUUUAUUUUCUUGUUCUUUACUAUGAAAUUAUCAGAAGUUAAAGUUUCUUUAAAUUUAUAAUAGUGAAUUAUGAAUCUUAUUUUAUGACAGUAUAUGUUUAUAAUUGCUUUUCAUUUUAUUUAUACAUUUUGAUAUACAUGUAAAUCUGUGAUUAUAAGACAAAAUAUGGAUUAAAAUAAACAUUAUUUUAUA